rnacentral:rRNA from 1 species
AGUGGAUGGGGAGCAACCUAUGUUGUGCGUGUGUAAAGGUAGUGCCAAGAAAAGCGAUGAUCAUGUUGAAAAUCAAUUCCCGGUACCCGAAACCGACACAGGUGGGCAAGUAGAGAAUACUAAGGGGCGCGAGGUAACUCUCUCCAAGGAACUCGGCAAAAUGACCCCGUAACUUAGGGAGAAGGGGUGCCACCGAGAGGUGGUCGCAGUGAAGAGGCCCAGGCGACUGUUUAGCAAAAACAUAGGUCUCUGCAAACUCGAAAGAGGAGGUAUAGGGGCUGACGCCUGCCCAGUGCCGGAAGGUUAAAGAAGUUGGUCAGUUUUAGGAUGAAGCUAGCGACUGAAGCCCCGGUGAACGGCGGCCGUAACUAUAACGGUCCUAAGGUAGCGAAAUUCCUUGUCGGGUAAGUUCCGACCCGCACGAAAGGCGUAACGAUCUGGGCGCUGUCUCGGAGAGAGGCUCGGCGAAAUAGGAUUGUCUGUGAAGAUACGGACUACCUGCAUUUGGACAGAAAGACCCUAUGAAGCUUUACUAUAGCUUGGAAUUGUGUUCGGGCUUCCUGUGCGCAGGAUAGGUGGGAGGCGUAGAAGGUAUUCUUGUGGGGAUACUGGAGCCAACGGUGAGAUACCACUCUCAGGAGGCUAGAAUUCUAACUUAAUUAAGGACAGUUUCAGGUGGGUAGUUUGACUGGGGCGGUCGCCUCCAAAAAGGUAACGGAGGCGUACAAAGGUUCCCUCAGACUGGUUGGAAAUCAGUCGAAGAGUGCAAAGGCAGAAGGGAGCUUGACUGCGAGAAGUACAGUUCGAGCAGGGUGGAAACACGGUCUUAGUGAUCCGACGGUGCUGUGUGGAAGGGCCGUCGCUCAACGGAUAAAAGUUACUCUAGGAUAACAGGCUGAUCUCCCCCAAGAGUUCACAUCGACGGGGAGGUUUGGCACCUCGAUGUCGGCUCAUCGCAACCUGGGGCGGAAGUACGUCCCAAGGGUUGGGCUGUUCGCCCAUUAAAGCGGUACGUGAGCUGGGUUCAGAACGUCGUGAGACAGUUCGGUCCAUAUCCGAUGUAGGCGUGAGAAUAUUGAGAGGAGCCUUCCUUAGUACGAGAGGACCGGGAAGGACGCACCGCUGGUGUACCUGUUAUGAUGCCAAUUGUAAACGCAGGGUAGCCAAGUGCGGAGAGGAUAACCGCUGAAAGCAUCUAAGUGGGAAGCCCACCUCAAGAUGAGUAUUCUGGUGUAAGGUCACGGGAAGACGACCCGUAAAUAGGCACGAGGUGGAAGUGCAGAGAUGUAUGAAGCCGAAGUGUACUAAUAGACCGUCGGCUUGACC